UAAUUGAAGAGUUUGAUCAUGGCUCAGAUUGAACGCUGGCGGCAGGCCUAACACAUGCAAGUCGAGCGGCAGCGGGAAGAUAGUUUACUAUCUUUGCCGGCGAGCGGCGGACGGGUGAGUAAUGCCUAGGGAUCUGCCCAGUCGAGGGGGAUAACAGUUGGAAACGACUGCUAAUACCGCAUACGCCCUACGGGGGAAAGGAGGGGACCUUCGGGCCUUCCGCGAUUGGAUGAACCUAGGUGGGAUUAGCUAGUUGGUGAGGUAAUGGCUCACCAAGGCGACGAUCCCUAGCUGUUCUGAGAGGAUGAUCAGCCACACUGGGACUGAGACACGGCCCAGACUCCUACGGGAGGCAGCAGUGGGGAAUAUUGCACAAUGGGGGAAACCCUGAUGCAGCCAUGCCGCGUGUGUGAAGAAGGCCUUCGGGUUGUAAAGCACUUUCAGUAGGGAGGAAAGGUAGCAGCUUAAUACGCUGUUGCUGUGACGUUACCUACAGAAGAAGGACCGGCUAACUCCGUGCCAGCAGCCGCGGUAAUACGGAGGGUCCGAGCGUUAAUCGGAAUUACUGGGCGUAAAGCGUGCGCAGGCGGUUUGUUAAGCGAGAUGUGAAAGCCCCGGGCUCAACCUGGGAAUUGCAUUUCGAACUGGCGAACUAGA
rnacentral:rRNA from 1 species